CAGCCGCCACGGGAAUACGAAGGGGGCUAGCGUUGUUCGGAAUUACUGAGCGUAAAGGGCGCGUAGGCGGCCAUUCAAGUUAGAUGUGAAAGCCCUGGGCUCAACCUAGGAAUUGCAUUUGAUACUGUUUGGCUUGGGUUCGGGAGAGGUGAGUGGAAUUCCCAGUGUAGAGGUGAAAUUCGUAGAUAUUGGGAAGAACACCAGUGGCGAAGGCGGCUCACUGGACCGACACUGACGCUGAGGCGCGAAAGCGUGGGGAGCAAACAGGAUUAGAGACCCCCGUAGUCCCUGUCUCUUAUAC
rnacentral:rRNA from 1 species